rnacentral:tRNA from 1 species
GCGGUGGUGGCUCUGCGGGUAAGCGCCCGCUUCUCGCGCCAGAGAUGCGGGUUCGAAUCCCGACCCAGAACA